rnacentral:rRNA from 1 species
AUUUUAUUUCUAGUGAUUGGAAUGAUGGGAAUCCAAACCCCUUUCAGAGUAACAAUUGGAGGGCAAGUCUGGUGCCAGCAGCCGCGGUAAUUCCAGCUCCAAUAGCGUAUAUUAAAGUUGUUGCAGUUAAAAAGCUCGUAGUUGGAUAUCUGCUGGAAGCAAUCAGUCCGCCCUAUUAUCAGGGUGUGCACCUGAUGAAUUCUGGCAUGUUCUUUCCAAUGAUUCUACUACAAGUCAGAUUCAUUUCUGAUGUUGUUGGGUUGUUGGAAAAGCGUUACUUUGAGAAAAUUAGAGUGUUUGAAGCAGGCUAUUGUUGCCUUGAAUACUGCAGCAUGGAAUAACAAUAUAGGAUUUCGGUUCUAUUUUGUUGGUUUCUAGGACUGAAAUAAUGAUUAAUAGGGACGGUUGGGGGCAUUCGUAUUUAACUGUCAGAGGUGAAAUUCUUAGAUUUGUUAAAGACGAACUACUGCGAAAGCAUUUGCCAAAGAUGUUUUCAUUAAUCAAGAACGAAAGUUAGGGGCUCGAAGACGAUCAGAUACCGUCGUAGUCUUAACCAUAAACUAUGCCGACUAGAGAUAG